rnacentral:lncRNA from 1 species
CGAUUCUUACAUAUAGAAAAGCAUGUGUACAGCGAAGGGUGUUUUGGAAAAAUACAUGUAUUGGAAGGUCGGUACAGGUACACGUAUAUAUAUCAAUACUGAUGCUUAGAUUCUAGAUGCUGUUAAUUUUAAGUUAUCUUCAGUUAUUAAUGCCAUGCAAGAUGUUAAGGUCAAUGAGUUGAUCAACAGUAAUGAGAGAACAUGGAAGUGAGAUUUCAUAAACAAUAAAUUUUCCGCAGAUGAUGCUGGAAAAAUCCUUCGUAUCCCUUUAGCACGCACACCUCACGAAGAUUUCUUGGUCUGGGGAGGUGAGUAUUCAGGUGAGUUUUCGGUUCGCAGUGCCUAUAAACUAUUACAAUAAACUAUUACAAGGUUUGGAGGAAAUUCCUAGAGCUUACACUUUACAAACAGGCUAUAUGAACUUUUACAAAAAACUAUGGCUCCUUAAUCUACCAAGCAAAAUUAAGGUUACAAUAUGGAGAAUCUCAUGGAAUUAUUUGUCGACAAGGGUUAAUAUGCAGUAGCAUUAGCUCGUCAGUAACACAAACUGCCCUCGGUGCGGUGAAAGUGCUGAAACAAUCGACCAUAUUUUUCGCAAAUGUCCUGUCACAGUGGAAGUUUGGUCACUAUUAAAAAUUCAGAAUUUGAUUCUGGUUCCUAACAUGGAUUUUUUAUAGUGGAUUACCUGGAUUUUUGAUCUAUUUUUUAAAGGGCAACAAAUAGCAGACUUCAUCAACAACUAUAUUGUUGAACCUAAUGGGCUUGAAAUAAGAAGGUCAAUUAAGGGAAAGGAAACAAGAAAGUGGAGCUACCCACAUCGCGAAUUCGUUAAAAUAAAUUUUGAUGGUGCGUAUGAUGCGACUCACCAUAAAUCUGCCUCAGGGGUUGUGGUCAGAGACGAGGAAAGGCUUGUCCUUCUUUCCUACUCAGAGAUCAACCACGGGGUAUCUUCCGCAUUUGCAGCCGAAGCAAUAGCGUGUAGAAAAGCGGUCAAAGUAGGAGUGGGACAACAAUGGCCGAAGGUGAUAAUAGAAGGCGACUCCCUCACGAUAAUCAAAAAAUGCACAACCAAAAGUCAAGAUCGUUCACAUAUAGGAGCUUAUAUACACGAUAUACAACAAAACAUUAACAGAUCGAGAAGCUUCUUUUUCAAACGUACAAUAAGAUCUGCAAACAACCUUGCGCAUGUAAUAACAACGGAAACUUUAAGAAGGAAGGAGGAGACGUACCUGGAAAUGGGGGUUCCGGUGUAUGCUGAGAUUCAACAAAGAAUGGAUCAGAGACGAGAGCCAGAUUGAUAACAGAGGGGAAACAGAGAAAUGAAAGGAAAGUAAAGGAAAGUCGGAGAAAUGGUUUUUGAAAGGAUAAACUUUCCUAAAAGCUGAAUCGUUAAAAGAAAAUUGAAAGGUACAUUGAUGAUACGACGGUUUACAGUAUGAUCUGACUGGGCAUUAAUUAGGUACAUCAAUCUAUAAUUUUUGACUGUUUGAUAAAUAUCUAGAUAUUUUCUAAUUAGUUUUUGAGCCUUUUUAGUUUCAGGCCGUGUCUUGUUUAGGUGCUGAUUGGUUUUCUCUUUUGCUUUUGGACUUUUACUAUGUACUUUUAUUUUAUUCAGUAUACAGCCCAGUCUGAAUUCUUUCAAAAAAAUUCAUUAAUAUAAUUCAGAAA